rnacentral:rRNA from 1 species
GUCUAUGGCCAUGUCACCCUGAACAAGCCCGAUGUGUGAUCUCAGAAGCUAAGCAGGGUUGGGGCUGGUUAGUACUUGGAUGGGAGACCACCUAGGAAGACCAGAUGCUCAGUAGACA